CAUGAAGUCGGAGUUGCUAGUAAUCGCAGAUCAGCAUUGCUGCGGUGAAUACGUUCCCGGGCCUUGUACACACCGCCCGUCACGUCACGAAAGUCGGUAACACCCGAAGCCGGUGGCCCAACCCCUUGUGGGAGGGAAUCGUCGAAGGUGGGACUGGCGAUUGGGACGAAGUCGUAACAAGGUAGCCGUACCGGAAGGUGCGGCUGGAUCACCUCCUUUCU
rnacentral:rRNA from 1 species